AGAGAGAGACAUGCGCGCAUAUCAAUAAGCGGAGGAAAAGAAACUAACUAGGAUUCCCCUAGUAACGGCGAGUGAAGCGGGAAGAGCUCAAAUUUGAAACCUUAAAGGGUUUCCCUUGACGAAUUGUAGUUUAAAGAAGUGUUUUCUGUUGAGGUUUUGGUAAAAGUUCUUUGGAAUAGGACAUCAUAGAGGGUGAGAAUCCCGUAUUUGACCAUUAUUUCCAGCUUUGUGAUACACUUUCAAAGAGUCGGAUUGUUUGGGAAUGCAGUCCAAAAUGGGUGGUAAAUUUCAUCUAAAGCUAAAUAUUGGCGAGAGACCGAUAGCGAACAAGUACCGUGAGGGAAAGAUGAAAAGAACUUUGAAAAGAGAGUUAAACAGUACGUGAAAUUGUCAAAAGGGAAGCGUUUGACACCAGUGUUGUUUUUCUGAAAAUCAAUUAAAGAACUGUUUAUGCUAAGUUGUUUAGACUUUAUCAGCUAACUGUUUAGUUUUGAGCUUUUCUUUAAUGCACUUUUCAGUUAACAAGUCAACAUCAAUUUCUUUUGCUGUAAAAAAGCUUGAGGAAGGUGGCUUGAGAUUCGUCUUAAGUGUUUAUAGCCUCUUGCCUAUGCAGUCGGAGAGAUUGAGGUCUGCAGCGUAGAUCCUUCGGGGCUAAAUGCAUUUGUGCUAAGUUAUAGCAUUUUAUAGACAACUUGUUGACUAUGAUUUGUCUUGUAGCUUACUCGCUUAUGUUAUUUUACCUACGCUUAGGAUGUUGAUGUGAUACUGCGAGCA
rnacentral:rRNA from 1 species